UACGAAGGGGGCUAGCGUUGUUCGGAAUCACUGGGCGUAAAGCGCACGCAGGCGGAUCGAUAAGUCGGGGGUGAAAGCCCGGGGCUCAACCUCGGAAUUGCCUUCGAUACUGUCGGGCUCGAGUCCGGGAGAGGUGAGUGGAAUUCCGAGUGUAGAGGUGAAAUUCGUAGAUAUUAGGAAGAACACCAGUGGCGAAGGCGGCUGACUGGUCCGGUACUGACGCUGAGGUGCGAAAGCGUGGGGAGCAAACCGG
rnacentral:rRNA from 1 species